GUGAUGGUUUGGUCCGGGGCCCCCCUCAGGUCUUGGAUUCAGCUGGGCGGGACGGGGCCAUUCUCCGUGCUCUGUCCUCUGCCCUCUGCCCUGCGCCACUCGCCGCCCGGGAGCGAGAUGAGGGGACCGAGGCGCAGAAGUGAAGUGACUCGCCCAAGGUCAUCCUGCCCGUCUCGGGCCCAGCGCCUCCCGCCGCAGCCACCGGGAAACGGCUGCCGCUUUUUCCUGGGUCCAGCGACAGAGGCCAGAGGCUCAGGGCGUCUCACGGGGUGAGGGAGUGCCGAUGGCUAGGCCCCCCCGCCUUCCCUUCUGCCCCAGCAACCCAAGCCCCUAGUGACUCGAGGUGGAAAGAACGAGGAGCUCGGUUCCGGUGCCAGCUCUGCGACCUUGGACGAGUCUCCUCGCUCCCCUGUGCCUCGGUUUCCUCAUCUGGCAAAACGGGUUCUGCCCCCCUGCGACGGAAAGGCAGCGUCACCUAGUCACGACCGCGAGCCCGGGAGUAAGAAGAGCCGGAUUGGAGUCCCAGCUCUGCCGCCUGCCCACCGGCUGACCUCGGACCACCGGCUCCGUCGCGACGUCCCCGCUCCCCGGCGUUCGGCCCCGCGCUCCGCACGCGGUAAGUGCCCGGUAAAUACCGUCGAUCGAUUCUUCCUCUUCGCGACCGUCUCCCCCCCGACCCCGGCCCCCCCUCGCCGGACCGCAAGCCGGUCGCG